GCGGCGACGUGGGUGGUUCGCC
rnacentral:siRNA from 1 species